ACAGCAUUAAGACUCUUUAGUAUAUUCUUAUAACUAAUUAUACACUAAUCAAGUCACAGAGACUGUGACACCAAGAGCUAUUGCUUGUUGUUUGAUUUGAUGUUAUUUUUUUCCUCCCACACACCCACAUUAUUGAAGAUGCAUGAAGACAACUGACAAGUAUAUUUACACAUACCAUAGAAAAUAGGUUCUUCGGCUCUACAAAAUCAGCCAUAUUUUAUUGUUUCUUUACCUCGACAUGGAGGGCAUGACUUUACAAGAAUAGCUUGAUGGAUAACUGCAAAGUAGUAUGAAAAAAAAAAAUGUGGUUUCCCAGAUGUGAUUAGAAUAAAGGGAACGAAUCACAGGCACCGACCACAUUUUUCCCCCUCUCCUUGCACACUUCUGCCCAGCCAGCUUUCUGCCACCUGGCUUUUAUGGCCUCUCGACUCUAUAUUGGCUUGCCUAAUGGUCGUGGAAACCUGGCAUGGGGAAGGGCCUGGCAAAAGCUUCUACGCGGUGGCGCAGUUCGGCGAUGCGAGCCACUGUCUCUGGGUCCUGAAGAAGGAAGUUCUUGAAGUCUUGGAGCUUUCCUGGAGAAGACAACAGAGGAGAGAGGGGAGAGGGAAGGCUCAGUUUUCAAUUUCUUUACUUCCUUCUUUUUUUUUUCUCCCCACCACAGGCCUCCCCUUAUGUUUCAGUAUCCAACAAUUUAAUAUUGCACUUUUGUUGCCUUUCUCAUAAGUGCAUAGCUUCAAAUUAUGAUUUAAAAAGAAAAGACAAAAAAAGGCUACACUGUAAUCUGUCUCCCUUCUCACAGUUGACUCGCCUGUCUUUUUCUUGACGUCCAAGGCAAUCUUGAAGCCCUCGUCCAUGAACUCGACAACCUGCACAAAGUCAGCUUCUUUGAACUGUCUGGAGGUCAGGGCUGGAGCACCUGUGGCCGAGAAGAACACAAAAUCUGCAGCUUGAAAUACAAAGGAGAACAGUGAUACAUUCUGGGACAAAGUCACAGAAAACCACAACAACAACAAACUCAAUCUGGCAGUGCUCCUCCGCGGUCCAGGACACCUUGCCUACCAUGAAUCAGUGGAGGGCUGACCUUGAGUGCUAGGCAUUAAGGUGCCAAAUUAUGUCACUGUCACUGACUGGUCAUGUCGCUACAUGCAGAUUGGGGUCUGGUCCAAGUGUUUACCGAGGGGAGGGUGACAUCUGGUGAGCAAAGUGCACUGAGGCUUCAGGAAACUGGUUCCAUCUGUGGUUUUCUGACCACAACCCACAGAGAGGAAGCAAUUUUUGUUGGGAUAUGGGUAUGUGUGAUCCAGCUGUGACUCAGAAUGAAAGACAAGGACGGCAGUUCCAUCUUUAUUAAGGCCACAUUUUGAAUUUGCGUCGUAACCUGAAGUUUCAUCCACUCGAUUUGAUUCAAAAGUGUUGAGUUCUUGUUAGCUAGCUAGUUCUGGCAUAUAAAGGUUUUUAAAGGGAAAGGAAAUUUAUUUUAAGAUACAUUUAUGC